GCAUUGGUGGUUCAGUGGUAGAAUUCUCACCUUCCGUGUGAGAGACCGGGUUCGAUUCCCAGCCAAUGCA
rnacentral:tRNA from 1 species